rnacentral:rRNA from 1 species
UACAGAGGUCUCAAGCGUUGUUCGGAUUCAUUGGGCGUAAAGGGUGCGUAGGCGGCGCGGUAAGUCGGGUGUGAAAUCUCGGGGCUUAACUCCGAAACUGCAUUCGAUACUGCCGUGCUUGAAGACUGGAGAGGAGACUGGAAUUUACGGUGUAGCGGUGAAAUGCGUAGAUAUCGUAAGGAAGACCAGUGGCGAAGGCGGGUCUCUGGACAGUUCCUGACGCUGAGGCACGAAGGUCAGGGGAGCAAACGGG